AUGGCGGCAUGGAGGUCGCGGCGAUGCAGCGCAAUAAGACGCGGCGGCGAGCCGGGCGCGACCGGUGCGUGUUAUGGGUGCACACUGGACGCGUCGGGCGCCUCGGGACCGCGUCGAGGCGCUGGACCUGGUUGCGCAGAUCGCGUACGUGCGCGGCGGGAGCGCGGGCCGGGAACGCGGGGACGUGGGGAGUGCGCGCGAAGGGCACGGCGGUCGCGGAGACGAGGAGGUCGCGAAGGACCUAUGUGGUGGCGCAAAGGUCGCGACGGCUCGGGGCGACAACCGUGGAAGGUGCGUGACACAUAG
rnacentral:rRNA from 1 species